UACGUAGGAGGCAAGCGUUGUCCGGAAUUACUGGGCGUAAAGCGCGUGUAGGUGGUGGGACAAGUCUGCUGUGAAAGCGCCUGGCUUAACCGGGCGAGGUCGGCGGAAACUGUCGCACUCGAGGACGGUAGAGGGGGGUGGAAUUCCCGGUGUAGUGGUGAAAUUCGUAGAUAUCGGGAGGAACACCGGUGGCGAAGGCGGCGACCUGGGACAAUACUGACGCUGAGGUGCGAAAGCGUGGGGAGCAAACAGG
rnacentral:rRNA from 1 species